rnacentral:rRNA from 1 species
UACGGGGGAUGCAAGCGUUAUCCGGAAUUAUUGGGCGUAAAGGGUCCUGAGGUGGCUAGCCAAGUCUAUUGUGAAAUAUCAGGGCUUAACCCUGAACAUGCGGUGGAAACUAGAAAGCUUGAGUACAGUAGGGGCGGAGGGAAUUUCCGGUGGAGCGGUGAAAUGCGUAGAUAUCGGAAGGACGCCGGUGGCGAAAGCGGCGUGCUGGACCUCUUCUGACGCUGAGGCGCGAAAGCCAGGGGAGCGAACGGG